AGAGAAUAGAUACCCGGGUAGUCCGUGCUGUAAACGAUGAGAACUAGAUGUUAGGGGGCAUGACCUCUUAGUAUCGAAAGCUAACGCGAUAAGUUCUCCGCCUGGGGAGUACGGCCGCAAGGUUAAAACUCAAAGAAAUUGACGGGGGCCCGCACAAGCGGUGGAGCAUGUGGUUUAAAUACGAUGCAACGCGAAGAACCUUACCUACCUUUGAAUCCACGGAACCUAGCAGAGAUGUUGGGGUGCCUUCGGGAGCCGUGAGACAGGUGCUGCAUGGCUGUCGUCGAGCUCGUGUCGUGAGAUGUUAGGGUUAACGUCCCGUAACGAGCGCCAACCCUUGUUCUUAGUUGCCAUCAGGUUAUGCGUGGGCUACUUUAAGGAGACUGCCGGUGAUAAACCGGAGGAAGGUGGGGUAUGACGUCAACGUCCUCAUGGCCCUUACGAGGUA
rnacentral:rRNA from 1 species